GAUGAAGCGUAGCGAAAUGCGAUAAGUAAUGUGAAUUGCAGAAUUCAGUGAAUCAUCGAGUCUUUGAACGCACAUUGCGCCCCCUGGUAUUCCGGGGGGCAUGCCUGUCCGAGCGUCAUUGCCGCCCUCAAGCACGGCUUGUGUGUUGGGCCCCCGCCCCCCGGCUUCGGGGGGCGGGCCCGAAAGGCAGCGGCGGCACCGCGUCCGGUCCUCGAGCGUAUGGGGCUUCGUCACCCGCUCUGUAGGCCCGGCCGGCGCCCGCCGGCGACCCCAAUCAAUCUUUCCAGGUUGACCUCGGAUCAGGUAGGGAUACCCGCUGAACUUAAGCAUAUCAAUAAGCGGAGGA
rnacentral:misc_RNA from 1 species